CAUAUUUCACAAUAUUUUCAUCCUUAAAAAUAUGCCGAAUAAAAUGAAGAGAGUGUUGUCCAUGAUAUAUGUAUUUAUAAAUUUAAUUUAAAGAAAAAAGUGUUUAUGGUUAAAAUUUUAGAAAUUCCCCAAAAUGUUCUUAUAUUAAAAAAAAAAAAAAAGUAGUAAAAAGGAAAAUCAUUUGUUGUUUGAUAUAAAAUACUAAAAAUAACGUUAAAACUACAUACAAUAUGAUGCUAUUCGUACCACAUUUAUUGACCACAAUUGAUGAUCACCUUUCUAACAGAAACAAAACUAUUUAUUCACGUAUCUUACUCUCGC
rnacentral:lncRNA from 1 species